rnacentral:rRNA from 1 species
UACGUAGGGUGCGAGCGUUGUCCGGAAUUACUGGGCGUAAAGAGCUCGUAGGUGGUUUGUCGCGUUGUUCGUGAAAACUCACAGCUCAACUGUGGGCGUGCGGGCGAUACGGGCAGACUGGAGUACUGCAGGGGAGACUGGAAUUCCUGGUGUAGCGGUGGAAUGCGCAGAUAUCAGGAGGAACACCGGUGGCGAGGGCGGGUCUCUGGGCCGUAACUGACGCUGAGGAGCGAAAGCAUGGGGAGCGAACAGG